rnacentral:ribozyme from 13 species
UCUUUCUCUUUCUCUUUCUCUUUCUCUUUCUCUUUUUUCUUUCCCCCUUCAGAAUCAUUCGUUGUUGUUGAUAAUGUUGUUGUAAGAACAGGAGGAGGGGAGUGAGGAGGUCCUCGGUAGUAGAAAAGAAGAUAAGCACUUGAGAAUUGAAGAGAUUUCGGAGAAGGAGAACAAGAAGCAUCAUCAUAGUGAUACCACUGCAGAAGAAAGAUAAAUAAUAAUAAUAAUAAUAAG